UACGAAGGGGGCUAGCGUUGCUCGGAAUCACUGGGCGUAAAGCGCACGUAGGCGGAUCUUUAAGUCAGGGGUGAAAUCCCAAGGCUCAACCUUGGAACUGCCUUUGAUACUGGGGAUCUCGAGUCCGGAAGAGGUUGGUGGAACUCCGAGUGUAGAGGUGAAAUUCGUAGAUAUUCGGAAGAACACCAGUGGCGAAGGCGGCUCACUGGCCCGGUACUGACGCUGAGGUGGCGAAAGCGUGGGGAGCAAACAGGG
rnacentral:rRNA from 1 species